rnacentral:rRNA from 1 species
AGGAGUACCUUCAAAAGCCACCCCGACGACAUCAUCCUCGCCACACAUCCCAAAUGUGGCAUUGACUGGCUCAAGGCUCUCGCCUUCACCAACACCAACCACUCCUGCUACGGCUUUGCCGACCACCCCCUCAUCACUCGCAAUCCUCAACACGUCAUACCGUUCAUCGAGAUCCCUGGUGCCAGCAUGGAUCAUACUGCCAUCGAGGGACACCCUUCUCCAAGGCUUCUCGCCACACACAUUCCAGUGUCAUUGCUCAACCCAUUGGACAAGGGUUAUCGAAUCGUGUACCUGUGCGAUCCCAAGGAUGCACCGGUGUCAAGGCUGCACUUUGAGAACAAGGCUUAUGAUGGCUUCAACUUGUCGAUGGACAAGGCUUUCAGUAUGUUCCGCGAUGGAUUCUCGCCCUAUGGCCCCUUCUGGGAUCACUGCCUCAAGUACUGGAAGGAGAACCUAGCAAGACCAAGCAAUGUCCUUUUCUUGAAGUAUGAAUAUAUUACGGCAGAUCCGAUGGAAGUCGUGAGGAAGCUGGCGAAAUUCCUUGGGGUCCUGCUGACCAAAGAGGAGGAGAGCUCUGGUGUUACCCGAGAGGUGGUGAGGAUGUGCAGCUUUGAGACACUUACCAGCCUAGAGGUUAAUAAGGCAUGUGGCGUUGCUCACGGAAACAAUGUGUACCUCGAUAAUUCUUUGUUUUUCAGGAAAGGAAAAGUCAGGAACUGGGUGAACCACAUGAGCCAAAUGGGGGAAAUGUUGGAUCGCAUCGUCCAAGCCAAGCUGCAAGGAUGCGGGCUUUUGUUUUGA